rnacentral:rRNA from 1 species
GAUGAACGCUGGCGGCGUGCCUAAUACAUGCAAGUCGAGCGAACAGACGAGGAGCUUGCUCCUCUGACGUUAGCGGCGGACGGGUGAGUAACACGUGGAUAACCUACCUAUAAGACUGGGAUAACUUCGGGAAACCGGAGCUAAUACCGGAUAAUAUAUUGAACCGCAUGGUUCAAUAGUGAAAGACGGUUUUGCUGUCACUUAUAGAUGGAUCCGCGCCGCAUUAGCUAGUUGGUAAGGUAACGGCUUACCAAGGCGACGAUGCGUAGCCGACCUGAGAGGGGAACCGGCACCACGGGACUGGAGACCCGGUCCGACCCCCAAGGGGGGGAGACGGUGGGAAAUCUCCCGCAAGGGGCGAAGCCCUGACGGGGAACCGCCGGGGGGGGAAGGAGGGUUUUCGGUUGGUAAAACCCUGUUAUUGGGAAAAAAAAAAUUGUUAAGUAACUAUGCCCGUUUGAAGGGUACCUAAUAAGAAAGCACCGGCUAACUCCUG